AGUUGACGGCCCAACUCGGAGAGUUGGGUCAACUGGCAGUUGACUUUGACUUGGACUUGGUUGGGGGUAAAAUAGUCAUUUUACCCCAAGAGUAGAUAUCAGUUUCUGACUAAGUGUUUUUGGGGAUUAUAACCGGAGGAUUUUCGGAGCAGCAGCAGACAGAGGUUUCCCGUACAGAUUAUCAGCAGCUACUCAUUCAAGGUGAGUUACCUUCCAGUAGCGGUGGGUCUACUGCCACAAUAUCGGCCCACCAGUAGGAGUUGUUGAUGGGUUUUAGGUAUAAGAACAAUCAUAUGUGCUCAUACAAACCCUAAUGCUUGGAUCUAGGUUUCUCUAUUGUACAUGCUUUGAAUCCAAGACUAAUAAACUUAGAUCUAACAUAUUAUAAACUGAAUUAGGGUUUAGAGAAUUACCUUUGAUUGUUAUAUAGCAAUAACAAUCAAUUCCUUGCUUGGAUUGGCCUUAGAAAGCUUAGUGCCUCAAGUGCUGCACCUCUAAUGGAGUCACAAACACCAUAUACAACUUGGAUGAAGAGGAGAAGAAAGGAGGCUGCCCAAAAACGACUAGAAACCCUAGAGAAUCAGUUGUCCACGUUUUUGGAGCCUAAGGGGUCCUUUAUAUACUUGUGUGGGCUGCUAGGGUUUCAGUCAAAACCCUAAUGGACAGCUUAAACUCUAAGCAGCCCAUGGAACCUUCUGGAUAAGGCCAUGGACGAAAAUAUGAUGGGCUUCCAUCAUAAUUUCGUUCACCCCUUAUUCCUUUAGCAUUCCCUAUCCCAAUAACUCAAUUAUCCAAUAAUUGCAGUCCAGUCCCCUAAAUUUAAUUAAUCUCUUUUAGCCACAAAAUUAUAUAUCAAUUAAUUCUUGACUAUUAUUAAUUAAACAAUAUGAUUUCUCCUUUAAUAUAUUAUUCUCAUAAUAUAUUAAUAAAUCAUAUUUAAACCUUUCUCUCCUUAAUUCAUCCUACAUAUUGCUAUGGUGAAGGCAACCCAAAAGGACCAUGCUCAUAAUCGGGUCAAGUACAUACCAAAAUAGUUAUGGACUUAGACACUAAUCCAACAGUCUCCCACUUGGAUAAGUCUAAUAACUAUUUUCCGUAUGACUUCAGAACCUGAUCAGCAAUCGUAGCUUUCAAAAGCCGCUGUCAACUCUGAUCUUAUCAGAUAGCGUGUCCUCUAGAUAAGGGAUUAUAUAUUCCUCCAUUCUCAAGAUAUCGUAUAGACAAAAGACAUGAAUUUCAAUCAUUCUCUCUAUACUGUUUCCCGACUUCCGAUUUAUGACGACUGAUAACAGACUACAAUUGAACACAUCAACUUAGUCCCGGCUUGGCCAAGCGCUUAGGUGUCAUCACUAAAUCAUCGAGAGGCCCACAUAUAUCGCUUUUAUCCCACUUUGGGUAAAAGGAAUGGAUAAACUUCGACUCAAAUGCUCGCUUGCAUUUACUGAUCGAAUCACACACAACAAUAAGUUUUAUAACACCAAGUUACUGGUGCGUUUACUUAUUAUCAAUGUGUAACCGACCAACAAAUAACAACUCACACGUCUCGGUUUCAAGAAUAUACAAUAUUAUCGUCUCACUAAUCACUCGUGAUAAAACCAUGAAGUGAUCCAAGUGAGCGUGGGUUUAAUCCAAUACUCUAAUCUUAUCAAAGCACUCAUGAACUCUGCAGCAAACUUGUGCCAUGUCUAAACACUUCAGACAAUCUACAGACAGAUUCAUGACAGUCUUUAUUCAUACCUACUCCCAACGUAUGACCGACUGUGGAUGUUUGAAUAACCUAGUUAUUCUGGAAGUCAAAACAUGCAAACUGAAACAUAACAAUAAUACUUAAUCCUAUAUGGCCCCAAACUUGUGAGAGUAAAUAAAACACUUCUAUUUAUCCACCAUAUUGAUUACUCAUUAUUUAUCAUUUAAUGUUUCGGAUAAUCAACUCAUUACUUGAAUUACAACAACAAUUGUCCCAUGCUCUAAGCAUGCACACUUUGUUUCCUAUGGUCCAUGCUUUGUGAAAUAGAACAAUUGAAAACUUUUCCAAUGAUUCUCAUUUCACAAUUCCUUAAUCCCCAUUGUUAGUGUAAGAACACAAGGUUCUUGCCACUACUAGAAUAUGCUAGAUUCUAACAUUUUACGCAACGAUCCUUUCGUAAAGUCAUAGCACAAAAGUCACCAAGACUUGGCUAAUGAAAUUACAAAGUACUUUCUUAGAAAUUGUUACAAGACAAUUCCAUAGAUGUGAAGUCUCACAUUCAAAGUACAUUCCUUUGAACAUCCUUCUUGCAUAAAAGUUUCUAAUCUAGGCAUAGACUCUCAAUAUCCAACUCCCAAUAUGGAAACAUUUCCAUAUUUGCCAUAUGACAACUCAUUCUUAAUAGAAUCUUAUCUAUUCAUAAUAAUGUCGAUAUGGUCCAUCCAAUACCAUACUUCCAACUACUCACAAGCGACCAAUCCUCAGCGAACUUUGGAUCGUCCUUUGAUAGUUGUUUAAUUAUUUUAGUCAAAACCAAUUCUAGUCCUUUUUCCCUCUUAAUGCGCUAGACAUUUGGAAAAUUUUAGAAUGGUAAAAUAUUAUAGCAUUUGCAAUCGAUCCUAUACCCGAAGCGUAUGGGACACGAUGCAUAAUGUCUUACAUAAAGAUAUGAUACUUUACCAAUCUUUUGCCAUAAUAUUUUAUGUGUCAUGUUCUCACAAUUCGAACUAUGAAGAGGGAUGCCGUAAUCAUAAUCGAAUUUUAAGAACACACAAUGUAUCCUUUGACUGAAAAUAUUAAAAUUUCUCAAUCUAAGCUUUAGAUUUUGAAACGAAGUAUAAUAUUCUCUCCCUUAAUUAUAUUAAAACAACUUUUCAACCCAUGCAACUUUGCAAAUUGAAUCUUUGUUUUUCUAUAAUUAAUAUUGCUAACUUGCAAUACUCGCCAUAAUAAUCAUACAAGCAUAACACUUAUGCUCCCACUAUCAUGAUGAUUAUUAUCAUAUAAGCAUAACACUUAUGCUCCCACUAGCUUUGACAUGUAUUCAGAAAACAAAUGAACUUUCAGAAAACAAUGCCUAUUGAAUUUCUGAAAUUCAUAUUUCUAAUACCAGAUGCUUCGAUAAGCCUUUAUCUAGGCUUCUUAACCUUAUACACCUUUGUCUUAGAUAGCUCAUAUGUGUGUUUAAACAAUUCAGAACUUAUGUUACUAAGUUCCAAAUGUUGAAACUAAUUGCCAAAUCUCAUAAUUCGAACUAUGGAAAGGGAUGCCGUAACCAUAAUCGAAUUUUGAGAAUACAAUUUUCACAAUCGCUAUCUUCUUAAAAUCUCUCUUAGUGAAAGCAUUUCCUCACAGUCAUUUUCAUGAAGGAGGGAAUCUUAUGACACUUAGAUUUUAUGGUGUAUGAGUUCCUAUCCAUGUGAAUUUGCCAAAACCAAGGUUUGCGACAAAUCCAAACUCAUAUGGACUGAACUUUCUUAAUCUUGAUUUCUUGCCUUAUGGUAACACGAGUGCCCACCAUGUCUUCCAAGUAGUUUAGUAACUUGUCCUUACAUAUCAAUGUACUUUCCAUCGACUAAGGCUCUAGUAUGCAUUCAAAUGAGAACUCAUAGAACUCACAUACGCAAUUAACUCAAUUGGAAUGGCACAAAAACAAAAUAAUGUCAGCACGAUAGGUUGUAAACCUCAAGUCGUGUGCUAGUGAUGAUCGAUAAGGUAUAUUCUUGAUUUGUUCUUGAAACCUUUCAAGACCAUUAAGACUCCCACUGACUCCUUGACAUAUAAGAUUCUCUUGUCAAGAAACAUUUCUUGACAAAGCAAAUAUUCAAGAGUUAGUGUAGUUCUUAUCAAGACAAAACACUUCACAAAUUGGUCCUAGUUGGUCUUUGUCUUAUCCAAGACAUCACAACUUACCAAUUUCUAAUGUGCAAGAAUAAGAAAACUUUUCCAAAUUCCACAUUUGAUGAGUGUUAUAAACCUACUUAAGACUUGUCACUCAAUGUCACAAUCUUGGAGUAUGACUCUAAGACUUGAUAUUGGAACGAAGUAUGAUUGACUCUUUGAUUUAACCAUUUCUACAAUUCUCGAUUCCUCUUCUUAGACAUGCAAAUGCACUAAGACUCACUUAGAGGAUCAAUUGAGAUAUGGUUCUUAAUCAUUAAGACUUCAUCAUAAAACACAAUAAAAGGUACUCUCCCUUCUUCUUAGAAUGGAGAAACUUUUAUCUUUCUGCCUUCUUGAUUCUUCUUAUUCGUUCUGCUAUUGAUUGAAACUAUUUCAGUUAACUCAGAAUUAUACUCAAUCUUAUAAGUAUAACCAUAUUUACUAAACUUUAGUAAAUCAUGACGAAUAUCUUUGUCACUCUUGUGGUAGACUUGAUCAACGUACGACCUAGUGUACUUGAUCUCCUAGUCCUUCAAUUGACACUUUGUCAAAGAAUUAGUCUAAGUUUCCCAAAUGUGAAAGUUUUUCAUUCAUCAUACAAUACACAUUGCAUGAUUCCAAGUUUCUGUCCAAUUGAAACUUGGGCGAUGAGAAACUCUCCCUAUUUGGUAAACUUUUGACAUUUCCACAAAUAACAUAAUUAAGAAUCAAAUCCAUUAUUGCUAAUAAUAGAAACAUUCAAACAUCAAUUUUUCAUACAUGCCAUUGCAAGGAUAAAUAAAUAAGAUAAAAUCAAAAUUCAUUUUAUUGCGGAAAAAAUUUGUCCUUACAAUGCAAUUCAAUUGAAAAACUAUGUUAUUACAUAUUUCUUAACAAUCUAUUCUAACUCCAAGUAGUAGCUCAAGAAUCCAUUCUUCAAGUAAUGCGAUCGAAAUCCAUUUCUUCAUGAUUAGAUUCAGCUCACUUCUUCCCUCAAGCUUCCUCUCUUUUCUUCGAUCCUACAAAACAUCAAAAUGUAAUCUUAUCACAUCAUGUAUUAAGAAUCUAGAAUAGGAACUCAAAAGAGUUAGAUAAUGGAUUUUACCUGAAGCAGAGCCAUACGUCUUGACUCUCCCAUCUCUUAGAUCUCUCAGGUAGUUAGGGCAGCUUCGUCUCCAAUGCCCCUUCUCUUGGCAAUAAAAGCAAAUGGACUCCUUUGGCACAGCACAUCGGACAAUCACAGACUUAGUUCUUUCUGCACUUCCAAUGUUGCCAGUGUCCAUUGAAGUUUGGGAGUUUGAUUCACCAGACAAGUUUGCUUGACCAGCAUGCCAAAUCAUUGCUGAUUCAGCAGCUAUAAGCAAAUAGGUGAGAUUAAUGAGGGUCACGUCGUGAUCCAUCAUAUAGUACUCUCUAACGAACUCACUAUAUGAUUCAGGAAGUGACUGAAGAACCCAGUCAGCAGCCAACUCGCUUGAAAUCUCGACACCCAACAUGCUUAACCUAUCAAUGUGUGACUUCAUCUCUAAGACGUGUGCACACACAGGUUUCCCAUCUUCGUGUUUACUUGCCAAAAGGGCUUGAGUGAGCUUGAACUUUUCAAGCCUUUGAACUUGUGGGUCAGGGAGAACAAUUGGAGGAGGUGGAGGAAGUGAAGCAUGACUCUCAUUUCCUUGAUCGUAUCUCGGAACGUCAUCUUCAUUUGGAAAGCUUGUUCCAAAGGAUUUGGGAAGACCAUUGUAAGAUUCAGACAUCUACAAAACGGGAGAAAAUUCAAGUUAAGUUGAUUAGAAUUCUUGAUGCAACACCCAAAUGAAACAUCAAGCUAGGAUCCAACACAAUAUUCUACAACCUAGAAGAGGGAUGCCGUAAUCUAGUUGCAAAAUAUUUGAAGGUAGGUAAAUGACGAUUUACCAAUUUCCACCAUGAAAAACGAAAAGGAAGAUUAAGUUUUAAAUGAAUUGAAACUCCUAGAUCUUUUGAGAUUCAUUGAACUUUUCAAUGGCAUGUUUAAUCUCGAUUAUGCCCUACUAUUUGUGACUGGGAUGCCGAGGAUCACAAACAAGGUGUGAAUAACCAUACGAAUCACGUGGUGCACCCAAUGCUACAAUCACCUAAUCAAUGUGCCGGUUAGCCACACACGCUCCAUUGAUCUAUGACAAACAUCGAGUCACCCUUCGCUACCAAUGUCAUCCCCAAAUUAGUGUGUCGGUUAACCACACACGCUCCACUAACGUUUGACAGGGGUACGAAGUGUAAUUCUAUGGAUUAGCAUACAAUUUCACAUUUUUCCUAAAGUAACUAUGAUUUGGGAAUUUGAAAAAGCAUUUAGUUACUUUGUACUUCAUUAUACUUAUAAUGGAAGGUUUCUGUCCUAUCCUACCCGUUCGGCUAACGACCCUCCACUAGUCAAGAGUGCGGUGGGUAAGAGUGGAUACCCAUUCAAUCGCCAUUUUAUAGGCAAUUUCCUUAAACACCCCUUAUAGACCAGCUUCGUGAAUGAGGCCUACUAACGGUAAGACUGACUGUUUACUCAUAUAUAAUAUUAGACUUUUAAUGUUAUAUAUAGUAUAGGGUGUAUUUUACACUUUUAAAAUACUAGGUGGUUUAACUUAGUAAAUUAUACUUUUAAUUUAAUUAAAUGUAAACCAAAACUUUAUGGAUUUAUUAAAUCACUUUUAAUUAUACAUGUUAAUUAAUUAAUAAAACCAUAAGGGUGAGAUUUGAACUUUUUCAAAUUACUAGGGUUUUAGAAUUUAACAUUUCAAAAUUAAACUUUUAAUCAACUUUUAAAUCCCAAAACUUGAGGGCAAGUUUUGAGACUUUUCAAAACAUAAGGGAUCAAAUAACAAAUAACAUAAAUUAAACAAUUAAUUUCAUAAUUAUCUAUAUUUGACCUAAUCUUAUUUUAGUCAUUAGAUAAUUACCAAAUAACUUUAAAUAAUCCAUAUUUAUCACAUAAACAACCAAUAUUUAAAAGAUUUGAAAUUAUCUAUUGUUUUGGCAAGGAUAAACAUAUAAUUAAGAUAAAAUUCGGAUUUUAACUUUAAAAAACAAAUUACGCAUCAAAUCCAAGUCAAAACAACAGUUAAAUCCCGAAAUUCCCUCUGUCUGACCCCUGGACUUGCCGAGUCAGACAGACUCGCCGAGCUCAUCCACUGACUCGCCGAGUCAGGUCGGGCAAAGGCCAAAAAAACGUUUUUCAGUAAAUAAUUCAACAUAGCAUCACAUACAACUGAAACCAAUCAAGGCUCUGAUACCACUGAUGGGUUUUAGGCAUAAGAACAAUCCUAUGUGCUCAUACAAACCCUAAUGCUUGGAUCUAGGUUUCUCUAUUGUACAUGCUUUGAAUCCAAGACUAAUAAACUUAGAUCUAACAUAUUAUAAACUGAAUUAGGGUUUAUAGAAUUACCUUUGAUUGUUAUAUAGCAAUAACAAUCAAUUCCUUGCUUGGAUUGGCUUUAAAAGCUUAGUGCCUCAAGUGCUGCACCUCU
rnacentral:lncRNA from 1 species